GGCGGGGGGGAUGACUAGAGAUUCUCUGAUGAAGAUCCCGAGGAAUGACCUGGUGGAGAGUUUAUCUGCUCAAUAAGGGUCAUCUGUGGCGAUGCCCCGCCUCCUUCACGCUCAUGGGGAGGAGGGAGGAGAGGAAGGAGAGGAAGGGGAGGGAGGAGAGAGAGGGAACACAGACUUUUUGUAAACGGCUCGGAGGUCCAACCAUCUUUCUCCGUCUGUCCUUUACACUAUAUCUGAACAACCUCUGUGAACUUUCAUUAUGAAUAAAUUUCAAAAACGUA